CCGAGAAGGUUAUCGUGAAAUUCGAUUUAUUUUGAUAAAAAUUUAUUGUUUUUAUAAUAUAAUAGGAAAAAUAUUUUUAUUAUUAAAGUAAGGUUAAUUGAAUAAAGAAAUAUAAAGACUUAGUAAAAUUUACUGUAAAGGAGAUUUGAAAUAAUUUGAAAAUUAAAUAAUUGAAAAGUAAUAAUAAAAUUAUGUACCUUGUGUAUAAUAGGCUUUUAAAUUUAUAUAUUUAUAAUAUAAAUCUCGGAAGAGGAAUAGCUAGGAUAAAAAUGAAGUUUUUGUAGAAGAAAGUUUUUUAAUUUUAUUUCUAAGAGUGAAAUAUUAAUUGAGUUCUCUAAUAUCUAGUUUUUUGAAAAAUAAAUUUAAAUUAGCUUUUUUAUAAAUCAAAUGAAAAAAGUAAGAGUAGAAGGGAUAAGCUUUUUAUUAUAAAAUUUUAUAGGGGUUAGGAUAAGAGAGUUAAACUAAGCUUAAAAGUAGCUAUGUUAAUAAAGUGUUAUAAUUAAUAUUAAAUAAGUAUAAUAAUUUAUAUUUCCCUUAAAUUUAUAUCAAAAAUUAAUUUAAAAUUUAAUUUAAUUAGGUAUAAUAAAUGUAUUAGUAUAUCGGUAAAGUAAUAAUUAAAAAAUGAAAUAAGUAAAAAAUUUUACUUUUACUUUUAAUUAUUUUAAGGAACUCGGCAAAGAAAUAUUUCUGCCUGUUUAACAAAAACAUGUCUAUAUGAAAGAUUUAUAAAGUCUGACCUGCCCAUUGGGUUCUAAAAGGCCGCGGUAUUAUGACCGUGCAAAGGUAGCAUAAUCAUUAGUCUUUUAAUUGAAGGCUAGAAUGAAUGGUUGGACAAGAAAUAAUCUGUCUUAAAUUAAAAUAUUGAAUUUAACUUUUAAGUGAAAAGGCUUAAAUUAUCUAGAGUGACGAUAAGACCCUAUAAAACUUUAUAUUUUAAGAUAAUAGUUAGUUUUAUUUAAGAGUUUUAUUUUGAAAUAUUUUAUUGGGGUGAUAAAGAUAUAAAUUAAAAUAACUGUCUUUUUUUUUUACAAUAAUCUUUGAAUUAAUGAUCCUAAGAAAGGAGUAAAAGAUCAAGUUACUUUAGGGAUAACAGCGUAAUUUUUUUUAAGAGUUCAUAUCGACAAAAAAGUUUGCGACCUCGAUGUUGAAUUAAAAGAUCUUUAUAGAGCAGAAACUAUAAAAGAAGGUCUGUUCGACCUUUAAAAUUUUACAUGAUUUGAGUUCAGACCGGCGAGAGCCAGGUUGGUUUCUAUCUUCUAGUAAAAGUAUAAUUAUUUUAGUACGAAAGGAUUAAAUAAUUAAAAAAUUUUUUAGUUUUAUUAUUUUGGCAGAGAAUAUGCGUUAGAUUUAGGAUCUAAUAAUAUAGGAAUACUAUAA
rnacentral:rRNA from 1 species